rnacentral:sRNA from 1 species
GUCAACCACCCCCGCUUGUAGAAGCGGGGGCUUGUCCUGGCGGGGACAGGGGCAACUGGCUGACUAGGCGGCAACCUUACAGUUGCAGAAGUCCGAGGGGCUACCUAAUCACUUCCGGGUGUUUCGCCAGCCCGGACUAUGUGAGGCAGAACCGCUAAAUGCCACGUACGACCAAGACCGUAUUAAGCCCCGUGGACAGCGCCGAGGCGACAAUCACUCCGAAAGGA